GGGUCAGUAGGUUGGUCGUGCCACCGGUACGUACUGGUCUCACUGAUUCCUCCUUCCUGAAGAACCGUAAUGCCAUUAAUUUGGUGUUGCGGCGAAACAGGACUGUUACUUUGAAAAAAGUAGAGUGUUUAAAGCAAGCUAACGCUUGAAUACAUUAUCACGGAAUAAUGAAAUAGGACGAUCGAUCCUAUUUUGUUGGUUUCUAGGAUUGACGUA
rnacentral:rRNA from 1 species